UAGGGAAUAUUGCAAAAUGGGCGAAAGCCCGAUGCAGCAACGCCGCGUGGGCGAUGAAGGCCUUCGGGUCGUAAAGCCCUUUUUGAGGGGAUGAGGAAGGACAGUACCCUCAGAAUAAGCCUCGGCUAACUACGUGCCAGCAGCCGCGGUAAAACGUAGGAGGCGAGCGUUAUCCGGAUUUACUGGGCGUAAAGCGCGUGCAGGCGGAUUGGAGAGUUGGAUGUGAAAGCUCCCGGCUUAACUGGGGGAGGUCGUUCAAUACUUCCAGUCUUGAGUGCAGUAGAGGGAAGUGGAAUUCCGGGUGUAGUGGUGAAAUGCGUAGAUAUCCGGAGGAACACCUGAGGCGAAGGCGGGUUGCUGGGCCGACACUGACGCUGAUGCGCGAAAGCCAGGGGAGCAAACG
rnacentral:rRNA from 1 species